rnacentral:lncRNA from 1 species
CCAGUGGCGAGGGUUCUCUGGAAAGGUAUAUAAACACCGGAGAAGCAUCCUGUGCCGCCAUCAGUAGCAAGAUCUUGGAAACCAACCAACAUGAAGUCUUUCCGUGUCAGUAGUGUUUGUCUUCUUGGUUUAUGCGCCCUGAUGUUGAUGUCUGUGAUGGCAGAAGCUAGGUCACCUCCAGGACCCAUAAUCUGUCCAUGGCAGCGACCGUGUCCUAGAUGCCAGCCGCGUGUGUGUCCAGCUAUUGCUUGCCCAAAGUAUGAAGACGUUUGCCCUCCAUGCAAACUCCCGACUUGCCCUCCUUGCCCACCACCCCCGCCUUGCAAUUGCCCUCCUGUCAGGUGCCCUCCAUGCCCAUAUUCGAAGGGCAAGAAGUAAAAGAUAAGAUCGGCAAGAGGGUGCAGAGGAGUUUACAAUCGAGCUUCUCAGGAAAGAGAAAGAUAAUCAGAAUUCAUGUAUGCAAGAGAAAUUGCAGUAAAAUAUGUGAUGUAAUAAAAUAAGUUCCUUUAAUUUUCUGUAAGUUACCAUCUACCUAUAUUUUGAAUCCAGUGCCAAGGUCUGUAAGAAAAGUGGGGGUUUGUAAAAAAAUGUUACUCCAUCUCAUGAUUCAUUCUAAACCGUUAAUGCAUUGGUUAAUAUGUAACCCUUCACUCAAUAAAUCACUUUGAUCUUUAUCAAUAUGUCUAUAAAGUGCAUUGCCUAGAAUAACAACACAUCAAACGUU